AUCUAAUUUGGAUAUUCAAUUUUAUUUCCUUUUUUAAAAGAUAUCAAAUUUCAAAUACUCAAUCACUAUUGGUUGGUGAACCUAGAGGUUCACCAUAGGGGGUGAACCCAAGUAUUUCUCGUUAAAUUAACUGAUGUGCGUGUACGUAUACCCACAUGUAUAAUAUGUAUGGAAACACCUAAUUAUGAAUAGUAUGGAUUCUGAAAUCAACAGAAACCCAAUUUUAUUAGGAAUAUCAUGAAACUUGAGUAUAUGCAUCAUGCAUGAUGCUGCAAAUGAUGCUAUUUCGAAUUGCCAGAAACUUGCACGAAUCAUAAUGACAUGAAUCGUUUGGUAAAAGUAAAUAUAUGGAUGUAUAAACGGUAAACGCCUAUAAAAGUCAAGGAAGGGGGUGUUGUGUACAACUAUAUCAUUUUAAUACUUUUUUUUGUGCAACAUAUCUUUUUUUUUUAAUAAUUCGGUAUAUCAUGGCUUCCAUUAAGGUGGGUCUAAACUAGCGGCGAGUGUCCGUAGCAACCUACAUUAUCAGCUGGAAUACGUCUUGGUCAUCGGUCACCAAACGCUGGAAAACCCAAAUGUUAAAUUUUGCCCCCAAUGGCCAGCGAGAUUUGAACGCGGACUGUAUUGGGGCCAAAGCUCCCUCAAACCCACUGGACAGUCCUUUUUAUUUUAUAUAUAAUCGCAUUCACGCGAUAUGUUGUGGAUAUACGAAUGUGGGUUGGUGAGAUCAAUGUGACAUACUGGUGACAUACAUAUUACAUUCAAAAAUUACCUCAUGUUUCUUUUACUCGGUUUAAAUUUAUCAAAUACUACAUGCUUAAACGUAAAUAAGUUUUUUGGCCCAUCAUAUUAAUUAAAAAAAUUCUCGGCUUAUUAAUUAUAUUAAUUUCUUAUUCCCCAAAAACCCUAAAAUUUCAGUCUUGUUCCUCUCUAUAUCUCUAGCGUUUGAACUCGACUUCCAGAGAAUCUCUUUCUCUGCCAUGGGUCCGAAGCAGAAGCCUAAGCAGAAGCAGAAGCAGCCGGUCGUUUAUGAGGAAGAUUAUGUACCAAUUAAAACAUGUAAGUUUCAAUUUCUUUCAGCUUUUUCCUUUUGUCUAUAGGAGCGCUGAUUUAAAGACUUUCAUAGUUUCAUGCUAUUAGAGCUCUGUUGCUCGAUUAUGUUGUUUUUUUUUUUGCUUGCUAGAUUUAUCCAUUGCAUUUUUAUUAUACUUUAUGGUCUUCAAUUUCCUCAACCUUUGUCCGUGAUAUUCUUUGUGCCACAAGUAAUCGACUACGGUAUAGACGCUGAAACUGUGAAAAUACUGGGAGAUGCUAAAAUCUGGAAUAGUCUUCUGAUCAAAAACAAGGAGCUCCUCGCUGGAGUCGACGGUUUAUCAGAGAUUAAAUUUGACCAAAUCUGUGAAGCAGUUGACAAAUUAAUGGCUUCACUAACCUCCCAAGUUCAAGUCUUCACUCAGACGGUUUUACUUGAAAACAUUCCCCGUAAAAGAUGCAUGUCAGAAUGCAUUGAAGCCUGUUACUCACUUGAUGAGAUGCAUGAGACUUUGUCUAGGAAAUUUGGUCAGUCAUUCAAAACAACCAAGAACACGUAUGACUACUUUUUAAAGGGUAGACAUGGAAGUCAAGCUUACAAACAACUUUCAUUGGUGCGGGGUGCACAAAGAAAAGCAAAGAAACUCCCUAAAGCUCAAAGCCAGAAGCAGCAGCUAGCAGCUCAAAGUUGACAAAGUCUCUGAAGCAGUUGACAAGAGUAAGCUUGAGAAGGAGGAGCAAGCGGGAAAUCAAGUUCAAAGUAGCGAGAACAUGGAGCAAGCUGAAUCACUUCUUCCAAUUCAAGAUGAAGUUGAACUUCCAAAACCAACUGAAGUUCAGAGUAAUACUGAGCAGAAGGAGCAAGAUGGAGAUCAAGUUCAGAGUAGUGAGGAGAAGGAGCAAGAUGAAUCACUUCUUCCAAUUCAAGAUGAAGUUGAACUUCCAAAAUCAACUGAAGCUCAGAGUACUAGUGAGCAGAAGGAGCAAGCUCACAGUGAAUCAGUUCUUCCAAUUUUGACGCAGGUUAGACUGUUAGAGGUGGUUAUUUAAUAUAUAAUAAGUUUUUUGCAUACACAAUAUUAGUGAGGAAUGUGAAAUGUUUUCUGUGACAGCUUAUUAAUUCUCAGAAGGAGAUUUUGGAAGCUAUUACAUCUCAGAAUAAAAUGUUGGAAUCUGUAAUGAACUUGCAAACUGAGAUAGCAACAAAGGA